CGGUUACGGAAUUUGUCCAUAACAUCCUCCCCCACUCAAAACCAGGCACGUCCUCGUGCCGAGGGAAGUCGACUUGCCCUUGGACCGUCCUUGCUUUACGCCCCACUUCGACCCACUCCUCUAGCUUUAUGUAGCCAUGCCUGCCCCCGAAACACAUGCUCCGAAAUACGCGCUCGGUGCCUGAGGUCUGCGCCAUUGGUUUGACACCGGAUAGAGGUGCGAUGCCUAGCCGCCAUCUGCAUCGCCCGAAGAUGUGUGAUGCCUAGGACUCUGCCAUUGCUCGGACAUCACGCGGAGCUGUGGUGCCUAGGACUCCGCCAUUGCN
rnacentral:lncRNA from 1 species